rnacentral:rRNA from 1 species
CACGUAGGGCGCAAGCGUUGUCCGGAAUUAUUGGGCGUAAAGAGCUCGUAGGCGGUCUGUUACGUCUGCUGUGAAAACCCGGGGCUUAACCCUGGGCUUGCAGUGGAUACGGGUAGACUAGAGGCAGGUAGGGGAGAAUGGAAUUCCCGGUGUAGCGGUGAAAUGCGUAGAGAUCGGGAGGAACACCAGUGGCGAAGGCGGCGACCUGGACAAGUAUUGACACUCAACUACGAAAGCAUGGGGAGCAAACAGG